rnacentral:rRNA from 1 species
UACAGAGGGGGCAAGCGUUGUUCGGAAUUACUGGGCGUAAAGGGCGCGUAGGCGGACCACCCAGUCCGGGGUGAAAUCUUUCGGCUCAACCGGAAAAGGGCCUUGGAUACUGGUGGUCUGGAGGAAGGUAGGGGCAUGCGGAACUUCCGGUGGAGCGGUGAAAUGCGUUGAUAUCGGAAGGAACGCCGGUGGCGAAAGCGGCGUGCUGGACCUUUUCUGACGCUGAUGCGCGAAAGCCAGGGGAGCGAACGGG